rnacentral:rRNA from 1 species
ACGUAGGUGGCAAGCGUUAUCCGGAUUUACUGGGUGUAAAGGGCGUGUAGGCGGGAUUGCAAGUCAGAUGUGAAAACCACGGGCUCAACCUGUGGCCUGCAUUUGAAACUGUAGUUCUUGAGUACUGGAGAGGCAGACGGAAUUCCUAGUGUAGCGGUGAAAUGCGUAGAUAUUAGGAGGAACACCAGUGGCGAAGGCGGUCUGCUGGACAGCAACUGACGCUGAGGCGCGAAAGCUUGGGGAGCAAACAG